CGGAGGUGCAAGCGUUAUCCGGAUUUAUUGGGUUAAAGGGUGCGUAGGCGGUAUUAUAAGUCAGUGGUGAAAUCCUGCAGCUUAACUGUUGAUGUGCCAUUGAAACUGCAGUACUUGAGUUAUCUUGAGGUAGGCGGAAUGUGUAGUGUAGCGGUGAAAUGCUUAGAUAUUACACAGAACACCGAUUGCGAAGGCAGCUUACUAAGGAUAAACUGACGCUCAGGCACGAAAGCGUGGGGGAUCGAACAGGAUUAGAUACCCCUGGUAGUCCACGCCGUAAACGAUGAUGACUCGCUGUUGGCGAUACACAGUCAGCGGCUUAGCGAAAGCGUUAAGUCAUCCACCUGGGGAGUACGCUCGCAAGAGUG
rnacentral:rRNA from 1 species